rnacentral:tRNA from 1 species
GAUGCCAAGACGGCCCACAUCCUCCCAGGGACA